rnacentral:lncRNA from 1 species
GAAUCUUGCAGAAAAUAAUAUUACUACUAUAGAUGCGAACACAUUCCAGGCAUUGGCCAGUCUUCGCAGACUGUAAGUGUAAUUAAAACAUAGAUUUUUUGCAUCAAUUGUGAUGGAGUAGUGCAAUGUUUUUUUUUCCUGGUAUUUGUACAGCAAUCGAAUUUCAUCUUCAGACUCAAAUUCAUUCCAAGUGUUGACGGUUCUUAUAAUCUUGUAAAUAUCUCAAUUCUUGACGUGAGCAAGUUUGGUUCUAUAUGAUGUUGGUUUGAUGUAGUAUUUAAUCUCCGAUCUCUUUUAUCUAUCUCAUGUGAUUACAUUUAGUAAACAUAUGUUUUAGAGUCAAUUUUUAUUUUGUUUGAAAACGAAGAUGUCCUUUUUUUUCAAACAAAAUAAAAAUUGACUCUAAAAAAUAUGUUUACUAAAUGUAAUCACAUGAGACAGAUAAAAGAGACAAAUUGGGUUCAGACAAAAAGUACAUACUAAGAUAUCCUAACUGUAAAAAAAACAUUUGUCAACUUAAGAAUAAAACUUCCAAAAGAAAAGUAAUCUGAUUCAGCGUAUUCAAUUAGUAAAUCUAAAUUCAAAAACAUUAGGCAAUUGUUCUUAGGAAAAAAUCAGACGAAACGGAAAUUUGUCUCUGUUACGAUUGGAAAUUCGAUGUAGAAAUACUUUUAUCAAAACGUUUUUUUCAGGGAUCUGUCCGGAAAUCAUAUCACGGCGCUACCUGAAUAUCUAUUUCAAGACCUGACCAAACUUGAGCAUUUGUAAGUAAAUCAAUUAUUGAAACAACCAUUUUAUGUCCAUGUGUUACACAAUUGUUUUAGGUUGGAUGCCAUGUUCAUGAUGUUAUAAUUACAUUGGAUGUAUGUUUCAUUAUUAUAUGUUAUUUUGAUUGGCUAACAACAAUCCCGCGUCAUUCGUCGAUUCAAAUUAAAUUGAAUGAAAUGUAAUAUACAUGAUGACACACGUUUUCACAAUUAAGUGCUUAGGUUAUUAAAAUAAAAACGGGAUCAUAUUAAUUGUGUUUACAUGAUCAUAGCAAACAAAUGUAAUUAUAAGUAUUGAAUGCUUCUUUUAGUUGUUUCAUAGGGUUGUAGAAGCGCUGACUAUGCGUACAUUUUUAACCAGAAUGUUUUUCGGUCAACUUUUAUUUUACAUUCGAACGAAUUUACAAAAAGAAGCAUUCAAUUCUUAAAUGUUUGAACGUAAUAUCAUAUUUUUUGGAUUUGGGGUUAUUACGAAAAUGUUUUCUACGUUUUUAAAUAGCAAUGUUGUAGAGUAAUGUAUAUUAUGUCACUUUGUUAGUAUCUACCUGAGCAACAAGAUGAGUGUAACAUGGGCAGCAAUAGAUGCUCAACCUUCAAGAACACCUGAAAUCACAUCCGGGUUGUGGUAGGGUUCGUUUUGCUCAUCCUUUUUUACCUUUUUUUUAUCAAACCUAAACUCCGUAUAUGUAUAUUUCAGAGAAUCUUGUUACUUAUUUACUAAGAAUGCUGACUACCAACUGAAGUUUGUCGAAAGGUGGAAUCACUAUAUUCUUAUAUCACACAUUGUCGUGGAUUAACUGUUAUUUCUGUACUAUGUAACAAACGUCACUCACGUUACCUAUUGUUAGCUUUGUACGCAACGUAUCAUUACAUGAGUAUCAUUUGUUUGAACACAACCCCUACUAAUUCAAACGAAGUUCUAACUACAAGAUACACGAUAGUUAUAAUACAGUACAAACGACCUUCUGACAGAAAAAAACCUAAUAAAAUUGUAAAAUUUGCAAAUGUUUUUCUGUUGCUCACCUUCAUUUUCUUAAUAUGCACUAAGUUAUUAUGUCUGGUCAGUGUUUAUGAAGAUGAGAUAGUUUAUGUUGCAGUACAAUUUGAUUGAAACACUUUAUUCAUAGGUACCUAUCCGGAAAUCAAAUUACAACGCUAGCGGCAAAUGUGUUCCAAGGCUUACCGGCACUUCAACUUUUGUGAGUUCAUUGUUGUGAAUACGAAAAUCUAUUUAACCCUUGUUUUCUGGUUUGCUGUCGUUAUAUAACUAAUAUAUUUUUGUUAUUUAUAUGUAAUGUAAGUUACAUUGUGAGCAGGCAUUUUCAAUGACCCCUUUUCGUUUUAGUUGUACCAUUCCUAUGAAGUAUACAAUAUGUGUUAGAGACAUACGAUACAGUGUUAAUCUCAUUGUGAUUCUUUACGAACAUUUCUAUACAAGCAAUAUUUUAUGUAAAAAAUAAAAAAAAAAUACAUUAAGGAUGUAUUCUUCUGACGUUUCAGCCUCGUUGAAAUCUCGUUCUGGAUUUUUUUCCAAAACAAAAAAGUGGAAAUAUCAAUGAAUUUUAAAAACAUUAUAAUCAAACAUAACUCUGUGAAAAAAAUGUGUAUUUUACGAUGAAUAAUUUUGAGUAAAUCAGUUUUCAAAUUUUACGACCAAUCAAGUCAGUCUUUUUAGCCUAUUUUUUUUUAGAAAACGGUUGAGGGGUACAAACAAAUGAUUUUUCAAGAAGCAUGUUCAUCACUUAUCAAUUUUGUCUUUUCAAAUUUCUUUGAUAUGCAUUUUUUCAAUCUUGUAUAACAAAGAAGUUGAAAUUAUACGCAUUUGGUUCUUAAAAUUUUAAAAAAUCACAAAUUUAAAAAAUUGAAAGCAUGGUAAAUUUGACCCAAAAAAGCAUCAAAAUAUGAUACAACUUAUAUGGACACCUAUCUAGAGAUUGUUUUAGUUAAAUUUAAUCAGCUUGGUCCACUUCAUCUUUAUUGACAGUAUGAAAAAAAGUUCAGUUGUGGAACUGUGAUUUUUUUCACGAUCAAAGCCCAAAAACAGGUAACAAUUGAUGAAAAAUGAGUAAAUGAUCAAAAUUGGGUAUUUCCAAAGAGCCGUAGCAAAAAAAAAGUGCACCACCAUAUAAUUUUUUCUUCACCAGUGAUUUCUUAGUCUUAUAAUCCCCACAUCAGGUUUAGGAAAAACAUUUAAUUCUUGAAAUUUUUGGCUCCUCAGAGGUGUUCAUCCUCAAUAUGAUAUAUUCAGACAUAAAUGGGGAAAAAACAAAAUAUUUACUAAAUAUGUUGGAUUUGUAGAUACACAUACUUGAAAAUUAUCUGUUACUUUUUGCAUAGAAAUUUGAAUAAAAAGGCUUAAUACAAUAUCAAGGUCAACUUCAAUUUAGAUGAGAGGUUAAUGUACUUAUUUUCAAGCUAAGGAUUUACAUCACUCGGGAAGAAAUACAGUUAACGUCGCAGAGAGUAAUACUUGACGUUGUUAACGUAAACUUACCUCCCAUGUACCAUCGUAUCCCUUAAAGAACCGCGUUUUGUUUUUCAUAGAUAGUCACAUGUAAAAGCCAACAAAAUGUUGGCAAUUGUUUAGUUGUUCUUACACGAAAGAGUGACAUUAAUACACAGGAGGCAAGGAAGAAAUCAACACAUUUAUAAAAACGAAUCUGAAUGUAUAAAUCUUCGAUAAGUCAGAAUUUGCACAACUACCUGAUAAUUUGUUUGUAUAAACACUUCUAAAACUGCUAUAUAUGAGUUCAUACUUAUACGGAAUUCAAAAUGACUUGGUUGAAAGGUUUUAAUUGAUAUUCAUUGUACAUAUAUUUUUCAUGAGAUACAGCAAUGCAUACAAAUGAUAAUAAUAAUUGGAAAAAAAACAAGAAAGAUCGUGCAGGAUAUUGUUGGUUAAACAGUUCUCAAAAGGGUUUAGCAUUUGAACUUUUGAACAAGGCGAAUAAGACAUCAAUAGAUCAAUAUGACAUCCCCUAAUUGAUGAAACUAACUAUUCUGAGAAUUAUUUCUGUCCUCACUUAUAUAUAGAAAAAGAGAUAAAAAGGCGUAUUUAGGAAUCAUGGGAGUAGAAACAAUCAAAAGUUUUUAUUUACUUGAUGCACCUAUGACCUUUAAAAGACUUGUACCUGCUUGUACACACAUUCUGCACUGUUAUCUCAUUGCCCUGAAUAUAAUUGUAAUGAGUUUAUUGUGUCGAUAUUAUCAUAGUUAUAAGAAGAUAUACAUGUCAAUGCGACAAUUUUUCAUGUAAGUCAUAGUUUGUAAAAAGAAAACCAUUCUAGGUCAAAUUACGGUCUUCAACUCGGAGCCUUGGGUCACACCGAACAGUAAGCUAUAAAAGACCCCAAAAUUCUAAAACAUAAACAGUCAGUGCUAUCUUAAUGUUAAAAUACAUUCUAGUAAAUAGGUGUUUAUAUGUUCAAAUCUUCAUUUAUGAUGUUAAUAAACGGUCUGAGAAGUGUUUAAGAGUUUAAGCACAGACCUUCAAUUUGAUAUCAUUCAACUCAAAUUAUACCAAGCAUACAUGAAUAAUGACUAAGCAUUGCAAAAGAAAAAUCUGUCCAUAGAUAUUUCCUUGGUUCAUGGCUGCUUUAAUUUAAGGUUUUCGAAUGCGUUCUACCCAAAUCUGUUUGUAUUUAUGUAAAGAAUAAAUAAAAAAAAGAUACCAGGAUUCAAUUUGUGAACGACAGACUCAUCAGUGACGCUCGCAAGAUAAAAAUUGAUACGAGGUGAAUGAGGAGUGAAAAACAAUUAACAAAACACUUUCACAAUGUUUUUUUUUUCAGGAACCUUCAACUCAAUAAGAUUGCCAUGCUAGAUGAGAAUUUAUUUAAAGGCUUGAAGGCUCUUCGCGGUCUGUAAGUAAAUUGAUUUUCCUAUAAAAUAGUGAAGGCCUGCUGUUACAUUGUAUGUAUUCAAGAGAUCGAUUUUAUUCUAACUGGAUAUGGGAAUUUAAGAGUUCACUGACAACUGAAUUAAACUUAUAUCUUUAUACCUGUCACAAACGUAUGUAAUGCCAUAUUCACGUUCCAAUGGUAGCGAUUUCAUCAAUAAUCACCAAAUCUGGGGCAUAAUAAGUAAAAUCCUCUAAAUCAGGACUCUUAUAUUUUCUAUGUUGUACUUUAUGUGCUUUUGUUUGUAGUAGAUCUUUUGCCUUUCUUGUACCAUUGCUUUGUCAGGUUAUUAACGACAAAUGAGGUUGAAUAUCCGUUUGGUUUAUAUUUUAUUUUCAUUUAUACUUUUAUACUCUAAUAUAUAAUUACUAAUUUGUUGUGACUAAAAAUACGUCACUCUUUACAUUCGUGCGAGUCGCAGUUUAUACUUAGUUUGUGGAGUACUGGUGUACUGUCGUAAAUUGGUGGAAGGUGCCUUUUGUUAAUCUGUGCUUUACAUGCUGUAAUGUAAUAGUACAUCAUAAAACAUGACUUUGUAUAUUUGUGCAUUGACUGUUCAUGCGUAUUUUUUUCUGUAUUCUUGUCAAUGCUAACCACUGGACAACAGAUUCCCGACCCAGAACUGGUGCACACUAAAGGUACCAACCUUCAACCUUACCUGACAAAACAAUGUAACAUUACGACACACUAUACCAUAUCGAUUCAAAUGGGGUAAAUCAUCCAAAAGACAUAUUAACAUAAAAAGUGAGCAUACGCUAUCGAAUUCAAUUUUCUCUACGACACAAUGUAAAUACACAAAUAGUCCAUUUCUAUGUUGCCGACUGUUUUUUGCAGUUCAGUGUUUCCGUUGUACCGUUGUUUUCCUCCCAUAGUUCAUGUGUUUUCCCGGUUUUUAGUUAUCAACUUAGACUUGGUUUCCUUGAUCGAUUUUUGACUCUUGCACAUCGUUAUACUACUUUUGCCUUUAUAUCACCACCGUAUCAGAAUAUCUGUUGGUAGCCUUACAGUAUGAAUACAAGUUGAAUAGAUAAUAUUAUGCUGGAUGACGCAUCGCCAAGAUUAAAAAAGGUAUCGAUCGGAUGUUAUCAAGGACACGUCAACACCGAUUGAAUCAAGUGUCCCAUUGACAAUAUUAAAGGAUGUAAAGAAAACGACACAUAUUCCACGUUGUAUUCAUACACGUUUGUUUAUAUUCGACCCUUUACUGUAAAAACUGUGAUAUACUAGUAUCUGAUACAUACUUAAAAAAAACUUGACAUCAAAAGUUUCAAUACAAACAGUAGUGAUAAUUGUAUUGCUUCCAUUAUUAUUUCCGGUAUUCAGCGUGCUUUACGGGGACUUAUCUAUGUCAAUGACAAUUUUAGAAUAAAUGACUUAACAACAACAUAUGUCUUUCUAAACAUGUUAUUCAGCCUGACAAAUACAUAUAUCAAGUACACCAUAUCGGUUACACAGAGAAGACUUUUAGAUAAGAAAAUUGGCAACAGCCAUUCCCUAUGGAUACAUAACAACAUUGAUGCUGUAUUUAUUUUGUCAAGGUGUAGUUAGUGUAAAUAUAUAAUAUUUCUGCUUGGAAAGAUAGAAGUCAUGGUCACAGAAAUUAUAUACCACCUGCUAUUCACAUCGUGACAAUUGAUAGUCUGUUGCCAUCUGUUCAAAACCGUUAGGAGUUCCCAUAUCAGAAAUGAAUUAUACUCCAUUCAUUUAUCUAAAGAGACCACAAAUGCCUCCGUUAGUAUGGAUCAAAGCAAUUCAAUAAUGCAUUCAGAAGCGCAUUCAGAAACUACGAUAUACUAUGAGGACAAGAGUUUCUAACAAAUUCAAGAACAACGAGGUUGUGGAUGUUUUAUCCUCCUUUUAUAUCAAAUAUGUCGUAGCAACAUCUGAUUAAGCCUUCAAUGAUAGUAUCUUCAUUUGUAAAAACCAUUACUUGGAAUGUCUCACAAAAGAGCUUGGAAUAAACAUCAACACUGGUAGUCGUGAAUUUCCUAUGGGAAUAGUAUAUUCAACGGGAAAUGAAUUUGAUAGGCUUUUCAAUAUAAAGUCUAUAAAAUCUCGAAUUUUACGAAAAUUUGCGAAAUGCAUUGAUUUGGUAGAAUCUGACUAAAAAACCAAAGGCACUGCUUAUAUCUGACAUUGCUGUUUUGUUUGUAGUAUCAUGUUUCUGAACAAAAAAUGAAAUACAUAAUUAUACAAAUAUCAUUAAAUAAAAUAAGGUUUUCAUUCAGAAUGACUCCACAGUAGUACAUUUUUUUACCUGAUUACAUGUUAAGGUUAAGUUACAGGAAAAUCGGCGACUAUGCGACUAUUUCCUAUAUAAAAUGGUUGGUGGUUACGGAGAAUUGCUCUUUAUAAAUUGACCACAUAAUUUCAAACGUUCAAUAAACACCAGUUUUAUAGUAAAGCGGAUAUAUUUUGUCAUAAAAAAUAUUCAACACAAGUAAUAUUUAUCUGAUAUAAAGGGUUUUAUAUUGGUUUGUUACAUAAAUAAAGAGGGACGAAAGAUACCAGAGGGACAGUCAAACUCAUAAAUCGAGAAAAAAACAAUGACAACGUCAUUGCUAAGAAAGAAGAAGACAAACAGACAAAUAAUAGUACACAAGACACAACAUAGAAAAUUAAAGACUUAGCAACACUUGUUAAAUAAGCAGUAAGUUGAUAUUUCUCUCAUCCUUCAUUGCAUUGUUUAAAGUCUCAAGCACCAGCAGAUUUACGUGUGCGCUUGACUCUUUAUUAUCGCAAUAACAUUCUGAAAUAGUCUAACUUUCGUAAUCAAAACACUUUUGUCAAGCAUCAUUGACCUAAAGACGUACCUUUCUCAAACCCCACCACGCCCACGUAGAAACUUGAAAGUGGCAUACGAUGCACUGUAUGAACUAAAGGAAAUUCUGUUCAUUAUUCUGAAACAGUCGGAUGCACAAUUGAAUUCCCAUUUGAGCACGUGCCCAGAAAUGUAACCAAACUGGUUUGGUUUGGAUUAAACCCAUUGAAAUUAUUCUCAAAUAUAAUAUAUGUCUUGAUACUCUUAAAAAAAUUCAUUGACCAAUAUUUUCAAAAAAUAUCAGAACAUUUUUAUCAAAUAUAGGCGCCAAAAAUAUGUAUAAAAUUUUAUAAGAAUAAUUGAUUGUGAAGAUAAAUAAUAUAUAAAAAUGAGUAAAAAAAAAUGAUUGCAAAAAUGCGCACAAUAUGACCUUUCCUAUAUCAAAAGGCACAAUACUUAAUGGGUUCAGUGUUAGAAUAAUACAAUGAAUCAUAGGCACAAAUGUAUGUGCUUUAAAAUAAUUACAUGUACAUAAAUGUACUUACUGCAGUAUAGCUAUUGAAGAUAGAUUGCACAUAUUUUACAUGCCAUACCAUAUCAGAUUGAUGGAUUAAAACCAGUUGGAUUAAUAGUAAAGCACAAAUAAUAAUUACAUUUAAUACGGAAUCUUUUGUUGUAAAUAUAGUUAUUUAGAUGAGUCACAAUUAAGUAUAUUUUUUUUUCUGUCCAUUUUGUUUAAAUAGCAAUAAUAAAUGCAUUAAAUAAUUUUUGUAUUUACAGUGCAUAUAAGAAUUAUUGUUUAAUAAACAAACCCAGCAUAUAUGCAAUAAAAUUUACACUCUCAAACAGAACAAUCUGAUAUCCAGUUACUUGCUUGUAGAUCUGUAUAUUAGAACAUUUUGUUAUCUUUAGGUACUUGAGUUACAAUCAGAUCAAGGUGCUAAAUACUAAUGUAUUCCAAGGAUUGACGGAUCUCCAAUACUUGUAAGUAAACAGAGGCUUCAAACAUUAUUUCCUACAAUUUGUUUGCCUGCUGGUUCUGAUAAACGUUUCUUAUUUUCAAACUAAUGUUUGAUUUAGUUCAAUAUAGAUUAUUUAACGUUUUAAGUUAUCAUGAGAAAGAACUACAAAAUACGGGUAAAGAGAAUUUUUAUUAUGAUUAGCAUUAUUUGAAUUUUUAAAUGGUGAAGUUUCAUUGUAAUAUAAACAAAUAGAAGUUAGCAUAAAAAGACAUUGUGUUUAAAAUAUGUUAUGCUAAGAUAAAUGAAGAUUUCAGUUUGGGCAUAACAAUGAAAAGCAAAAGGUGUAUUUGUAAAGUCAUAUUCGCGACAUUAUCCUGUCGAAAGUGAUUAAUAUGAUCUGUAAUGGCGCGUUUACAAUCAGAUUUUAAUCGAAAAAGAUUUGAGGAAAAUGUAUUAUAAAAUAGCAAGAUGUUUUCGUUAAAACUAUAACUCAUAUAUUUUUUCGAAAGAUUUUGUCGCAAAGAUUAAAACAAGGGAGAAUCCCAAACUUUAAAAUACUAAUGAAAAUAAAAAAAAUCACACUGACAUUUAAAAAAAAAAACAUACUGAGAAAAAAAAAUGAAAAGACACUCAAAUAAAAUAAAUUGAAAAACAUGAAAAAGCACAUAAUUUGAUAAUUUAGUAAAGUUUUAACGACCUUUUUAAAUCAGUGUUUGUGAGAGUAACAUCUCAAAACUUGUGUCUUUAAGCACAUUCUUUUAUCUAUCCAAACUGUUUGCCGCACAACUAUGAACAAGAUGAGAUAAUGAUAUAACUAGUUUACGUCUACAGCUGAAGCCUCACUAAGUCUGUAUACAAUGGCGUUCCCUUACUUGUUUAAAUAUGGCUACUUAAGUAAGUGUCUCUACAUUUAUAAAUUACAUAACAGUAAAGUGUCUGAGUAUAAAGUUUCUUUUAAGUUCCAGCGCUCAUUUCUAACUUAAUAUUCUUGAAAAAUAUAUAUAAUAACAAACAUUGAGCAUGAAAUUUAAUUGUAUUAAUCUGUCAAUACAUAUGCCGUUUGAGAACAAGUCCUCAUUUAAGCCCUAUCUCAGAUCUAAGUUCAGCAAUAUUUGGUAUGCAUAUCUUAUGUAUCUAAACAAUUAGAAAAAUGUGAUUUAAUAUAGUUAUUCUAAAAUGUUAUUUUCAGGGAUCUGAUUGUUAAUAACAUAACUACACUUGGUGAACAUGUCUUCAAAGACUUAACGGCAGUUACACAUUUGUAAG